rnacentral:rRNA from 1 species
UACAGAGGUCUCAAGCGUUGUUCGGAUUCAUUGGGCGUAAAGGGUGCGUAGGCGGCGCGGUAAGUCGGGUGUGAAAUCUCGGAGCUUAACUCCGAAACUGCAUUUGAUACUGCCGUGCUUGAGGACUGGAGAGGAGACUGGAAUUUACGGUGUAGCGGUGAAAUGCGUAGAUAUCGUAAGGAAGACCAGUGGCGAAGGCGGGUCUCUGGACAGUUCCUGA